UGAGGCGGCGCAGCAACGAGACCGCGCCCAUCACCAACGGCUUCAAGGAGGUCGCCGCCAACUGACACACGGACACAUGUCUGCAGGAUUUUGAGAGGCAGUGAGAGUGCAAACAAAAUUAUGCCUGGUGUUAUCGCUCGGCGUUGUCACAGGCAAGCGUUACAGUUACGUUUCGAGGAGGCUAGCUUUAGGGUCCGUUGCACCAAACAGUCUGUUACCGUUAAAACGUUCGUUUAAUUGUAUUGUAGGUACGGGAAUUUGUGAGUGACGUUGAUCAGUCCGUCAAUCGUUGGUGCAACUGCCCCUUAGCCCCAAUCAAGACUAUAUUCGUAACAAAAUGACAAAGUUUUGUGUUGUCCCUUUUUUCAACACGUUUUUUUUUAUAUACUCAAACGCAACGUAUUUAUUGUAAAGAAGGAAACUAAAUAGACUUGAUAUGCAACAAAAUAAAGUGAUUUGUACAUAAUAAGCUUUUAUAUUUGUGUUUAGAAAUGAUAGUUUAAUAAAACAACAUUUUUAAACAAAAUAUUCGUUUACUUGUUUUGUCACUAGAUGAGAUUUGUGUUCCUAUAGCUAGUUAUAAUUAUUUUACACCUUGAUUUCGGCCAAUGUUUUUUUACAAUAAUUUAUAAAAGUACAUUUUUAAGGCCCGUGCACAUCGGAUGCGUGAGCGUGGACCGUUGUAUUAUACAGAUUCUUAUGAGAGACUGCUCACCGCUUGCGUUUCGCGUGCGGUUCCAACAUUUUAGCGCACGCGCACGUGCUCGUCUAUGCGCACGCAGCCGAUGUGCACAGGCCUUUAGGCAGUGACAAAUGUUGAAAAUUGUUUUAAUAACUUAUACAACUAGAACAGCACAUAUCGGUAAAUUAAACAAAUUUUAGGUAACUAUUGAUUUUUACUCAGUUAUUGAUGUGCCGUCGGAAAGUUUCCAAAACUGCGAAAUUUCCAAAUGGAAAAAUUACGGAAACUUCUCGUAUUUGUAUGGGUAUCGGAAUUUUUCAUAUCCAAAAUAAAACUCCAUUUUCUCUGAAAUUUUCGAGAACAUUUCCAACUUUUUGGAAACUCGCCGCAACUUGCACAUCUGACUCAGGUAUUGUACAUCUUGGUAACAUUUAACAUUUAGUACAUGUCCAUUUGUAUUUUCAGAACAACUGGGUGUAUUUAUUAUGUCAAUAUACUUAACCUAAUUUUGUUUUCGCCACAUCAAAAUUAAAGCUAACGAUGGCCAUAAAUGCUUAACUAUAAUUAAAAAGAAUUAUAAUUCGAAAGAGUAUAAAAUUAUAAAAAUGUAAUUUGGUACUUGAAACAGUUUUGUUAAAGCCACAUUAUUGCAUUGCAACGAAGUGUCUUAAACAACGUACAGAUCUUAACAAUACCCUAAAUUAGACUAAUAAAUAGCAACUAUUUAUUAUACAUAUUUAACUACCUAAUAAUUUGUUGUAAUAAACUUAAACAAGGAGUAUAUAAUUCUGCAAGUCUACAAUACACAAGGGAAGGAAUAGA